rnacentral:rRNA from 1 species
GACGAACGCUGGCGGCGUGCUUAACACAUGCAAGUCGAACGGAAAGGCCCUGCUUUUGUGGGGUGCUCGAGUGGCGAACGGGUGAGUAACACGUGAGUAACCUGCCCUUGACUUUGGGAUAACUUCUGGAAACUGGGGCUAAUACCGGAUAGGAGCUCCUGCUGCAUGGUGGGGGUUGGAAAGUUUCGGCGGUUGGGGAUGGACUCGCGGCUUAUCAGCUUGUUGGUGGGGUAGUGGCUUACCAAGGCUUUGACGGGUAGCCGGCCUGAGAGGGUGACCGGCCACAUUGGGACUGAGAUACGGCCCAGACUCCUACGGGAGGCAGCAGUGGGGAAUAUUGCACAAUGGGCGGAAGCCUGAUGCAGCAACGCCGCGUGCGGGAUGACGGCCUUCGGGUUGUAAACCUCUUUCAGCAGGGAAGAAGCGAAAGUGACGGUACCUGCAGAAGAAGCACCGGCUAACUACGUG